CAGUAGCCGCGGGAAUACGUAGGGGGCGAGCGUUGUCCGAAGUUACUGGGCGUAAAGCGCGCGUAGGCUGUCUCUUAAGUUUGGGGUGAAAGGUUCACGGCUCAACCGGAACAGUGCCUUGAAUACUGGGAGACUUGAGUUUGGCAGAGGAUAGUGGAAUUCCUGGUGUAGCGGUGAAAUGCGUAGAUAUCAGGAGGAACACCCAUGGCGAAGGCAGCUAUCUGGGCUAAAACUGACGCUGAGGUGCGAAAGCGUGGGGAGCGAACGGGAUUAGAUACCCCCGUAGUCCCUGUCUCUUAUA
rnacentral:rRNA from 1 species